CCUCAGCAGGACUUUAGAUUUCCGUUGAUGGACUCACCCGGAAACAAGUGAGAGAGAUUUCUUGGAGCAGCUGUCGGCAUUCAGGAAGGAGAGAGAAGAGCAAUGUGACACAUUGAAAAGAGUGCUGAAUUUGGAGUCAGAAGGCUUGGACUUAAAUCUCACCUUUGCUCUUUCCCACCAGAAGGAUCAUGACAUGAUAAAUGUGAAGUCAAGAAG
rnacentral:lncRNA from 1 species